CCAGUAAGCAGUAGAACUUGGCAGCUUUGGACACGUGGUUCUGUCUUUAGAGUUAAGGAUAGAAGAAACAGGUUAUGGAAUUUACAUCCAUGUAAAGAAAGCCAUUGAGGCCAGGUACGAUUCAGGGAUGUCCCUGAAUGGAGGCCUAGUAGAGAGGUUACUUCAUGAAGCUGUAAAGUUGAAGCCUGAAGCCUGGAUUUCCUUGAAGAACGCAAGAUGUUAGAGAUGCCACAGUAAGGGGAUCUCUUCUGAGGAGAGCUGCUAACAGGGACUGGAACCAGCUCAAGAGAAAAAGUGUGUUGCAGUCAACAAAGCUAAAAUGAGUUGGAGAUCUGAAGAGUGUUUUGACAUUUGAUAUGGAGAUGCAGUGUUUGGAAUUUACCCAGCUGGUUUUCAGUAUUGUUUUGGUGCAGUAUUUCCUCACUCUGCUCCCUUCCUUGAAUUUUGAAAUGGAUUUAGAAUUCUCAGCUACUCCUCCAGCACGUCUCCCUGUAUGCUGACAUGGUCCUGCCAUGAUGGUAAUGAACUGACCUCUGAAACUGUAAGCAAGCUCCGUCAAUUAAAUGUUUUCCUUAUUAGA